GACGAACGCUGGCGGCGUGCUUAACACAUGCAAGUCGAACGGAAAGGCCCUGCUUUUGUGGGGUGCUCGAGUGGCGAACGGGUGAGUAACACGUGAGUAACCUGCCCUUGACUUUGGGAUAACUUCAGGAAACUGGGGCUAAUACCGGAUAGGAGCUCCUGCUGCAUGGUGGGGGUUGGAAAGUUUCGGCGGUUGGGGAUGGACUCGCGGCUUAUCAGCUUGUUGGUGGGGUAGUGGCUUACCAAGGCUUUGACGGGUAGCCGGCCUGAGAGGGUGACCGGCACCAUAGGGACUGGGAUACGGCCCAGACUCAUACGGGGGGAAGCGGUGGAGACUAUUGCAAAAUGGGCGGAAGCCUGAUGCAGCAACGCCGCGUGCGGGAUGACGGCUUUCGGGUUGUAAACCGCUUUCGCCUGUGACGAAGCGUGAGUGACGGUAAUGGGUAAAGAAGCACGGGCUAACUACGU
rnacentral:rRNA from 1 species